rnacentral:rRNA from 1 species
GAUGAACGCUGGCGGCGUGCUUAACACAUGCAAGUCGAACGAAGCACUUUAUUUGAUUUCCUUCGGGACUGAUUAUUUUGUGACUGAGUGGCGGACGGGUGAGUAACGCGUGGGUAACCUGCCUUGUACAGGGGGAUAACAGUUGGAAACGGCUGCUAAUACCGCAUAAGCGCACAGCAUCGCAUGAUGCAGUGUGAAAAACUCCGGUGGUAUAAGAUGGACCCGCGUUGGAUUAGCUAGUUGGUGAGGUAACGGCCCACCAAGGCGACGAUCCAUAGACGACCUGAGAGGGUGACCGGACACAUUGGGACUGAGACACGGCCCAAAAUCCUACGGGAGGCAGCAGUGGGGAAUAUUGCAAAAUGGGCGAAAGCCUGAUGCAGCGCCGCCGCGUGAGCGAAGAAGUAUUUCGGUAUGUAAAGCUAUAUCAGCAGGGAAGAUAAUGACGGUACCUGAAUAAGAAGCACCGGCUAAAUACGUG